rnacentral:tRNA from 1 species
GGAGUAUAGCUCAGGUGGCAGAGUGCAUGCUCAGCAAUCAUGAUGUCCUGGGUUCAAAAAUCCCCAGUACCUCCA